CCUACGGGCGACUGCAGUGGGGAAUAUUGGGCAAUGGGCGCAAGCCUGACCCAGCAACGCCGCGUGAAGGAAGAAGGCUUUCGGGUUGUAAACUUCUUUUCUGAGGGACGAGCAAAGUGACGGUCCCCUUGGAUUAACCAACGCUAAACACGUGCCAGCAGCCGCGGUAAUUCGUAGGUGGCAAGCGUUUUCCGGAUUUACUGGGUGUAAAGGGCGUGGAGGCGGGACGACAAGUCAGAUGUGAAAUCCGCGGGCUUAACCCGCGACCUGCAUUUGAAACUGUUGGUCUUGAGUGCCGGAGAGGCAAUCGGAAUUCCGUGUGUAGCGGUGAAAUGCGUAGAUAUAAGGAAGAACACCAGUGGCGAAGGCGGAUGGCUGGACGGCAACUGACGGUGAGGCGCGAAAGCGUGGGGAGCAAACAGGAUUAGAUACCCGUGUAGUC
rnacentral:rRNA from 1 species